UACACUCCUGCGGGAGGCAGCAGUGGGGAAUAUUGGACAAUGGGCGCAAGCCUGAUCCAGCCAUGCCGCGUGAGUGAUGAAGGCCCUAGGGUUGUAAAGCUCUUUCACCGGUGAAGAUAAUGACGGUAACCGGAGAAGAAGCCCCGGCUAACUUCGUGCCAGCAGCCGCGGUAAUACGAAGGGGGCUAGCGUUGUUCGGAUUUACUGGGCGUAAAGCGCACGUAGGCGGACUAUUAAGUCAGGGGUGAAAUCCCGGGGCUCAACCCCGGAACUGCCUUUGAUACUGGUAGUCUUGAGUUCGAGAGAGGUGAGUGGAAUUCCGAGUGUAGAGGUGAAAUUCGUAGAUAUUCGGAGGAACACCAGUGGCGAAGGCGGCUCACUGGCUCGAUAUUGACGCUGAGGUGCGAAAGCGUGGGGAGCAAACAGGAUUAGAAACCCGAGUAGUCCCAUGA
rnacentral:rRNA from 1 species